AUCACAACAGUGAACUCCUAAUUAAUGAUCAAUUUUCACCAUAUUCCAUAUAUGUAAACAAUUGUCUGCAGGUUUUGUCUUUACAUUAUCUUUUUUUUAAUGUGUUCAUUUUAUUUGCGUUGAAUGUAUUUCUCAUUGAAGGUGAAGGUGAGGUCACAUGUCCACCACUGUAUGUCAGUAUUAUCAAGUAGGUGUUUUACUAUUUCCUCAACAUGUUGAGUCAUUGUAUCUUUAAGAGAUGGUACCAUGAAGAGAAUAAGUCUUAUACUUGAGCUGAACAACAGAUAGUUUCUCCUGUUGCUGUAGACCUGCUUUUGAGAUGGAAAACCUGGCUGUGGAUUAUUAUGGCUGCACUUCUAUCUGGGCUGAUAGCUUGGGACUCCAUCUCUCCUGAUAAACAGGAAGCCAGUGGAAAAAUGGGAGGAAGUGUAACACUCCGAUGCUGCUAUGAUACAGCCGUGUCACAACGUUAUUAAUCCAAAGGGGACCAGGUAACCAAGUAACAAAUGUAAUAGCAUGUGUUCACCUAAAGAGGGAGUCACUACAAUGGAAAACAACCUACAAGUGGUGCUGGGGUUUGGUUCUCCUUUAAAUAAAUUAAAUCUCAACAAUGCACAUAGCAAGACCCCUAUCCAAUGAGCUGACAUCCUUUGGUGGUGGCUUCAUAAACGCUAGCAAAGUAAAGGAAAAUCAAAAUGAGUUUACCCAUAGCGAAACUCAGCUUUUGCUGUGAUGCCCCCUAUUGGUCAUGAAUGGUAACAGGUCUGCUGGGUAUUGGAGAGCCUUGGAGAGAUGAGAUGAUGGGAGGAGCCAGCCACAAAAGGACUGUUGAGUAAAAUGUGUUUAUGUUUCUCUCUCCUGCUUUACUGGAACUCGCUCUGCUCUCCACUGCCUCACUCCAUCAUGCACUUUGCACUCGUGAUAUGUUUCAUUUUAUGUGGUCCAAGUGUUGAAGACAGUAUCAGUCAACAGAAGGAUGUCCAACGUGCUGUUGAGGGUGCUGGUGUUGUGCUCUCAUGCAGCUACAACAGCUCUGUAGUCAGUAGUCUCUUAUGGUACCGCCAGUACCCCGGCUCAC